rnacentral:lncRNA from 1 species
CAGCAGGGGACCCCAUACUAAACACGUUCUCAUCUACAAUUUAAGGUAGCUAGAGCACCAGAGCUCAAAGUUCUCCCUACAUGAAUCAGCACAGGUGGCCCUUGGAAUAACCCUUUGAAACAUUUGAGAAACAUUCAGCAGAACAGCAGAGGGUGCAGUGGCGGCCUUCAUCUCCACAGCAGAGGGUCCUUCCCCAACAACAGCUCCAUGAUCUGGUGAGUGAUUUCUGUGUAGAACUAACGGCUGCCCUCCCCCAAACCCCUGCUCUCAAGUCGAGCAAAGUGAAGUCGUUAGGGAAAUUCUGGGGCUCCUCCCCAGGGAAACACCAUUGGGAAAGGGAGAGUUGGACAGAAAGACUUAGUGUACUCUAGGGGUUCCUCCAUCACAUACCAGUUCUCAUCAACACUGCGGGCUUCCAGAG